AAUGGCGCACCUCUCCCAGGCUCACAUGACGCCUUUCUGUGCGCUCCCCAGUCCUCUCAGCGCUCAAUCCCGGCGAGUGCAGGCAUCACUGAAGACCUGACAUCGGCGGAAUCGGACGUCCACUGGUCCUCGGCGCUGCUGACCAGGUGUUAUCUUUGCGCAAAAAACUUUAUCGCCAUCCGAUGAAGCCGAGCGUCGAUGAGAGCGACUUCCCCGUGCAUCGCCGGAGGAACAGACUUUUUUUUGCCGUCUCCAAACCGGAGAGAAUCGCAAAGGGGCGAGACAAUAACGCCCAGAAGUUAUUGAAAUGCAUCGUCAUGAAAGGAGCUGACACAAGGAGAAGAAACAGAAGAGUGCUCGCAGUGUUAGCCUUUGCCGUGGAGGGAAGAAAGAGAAGCAGAAACACCCCCCCAAGCAGAAUGCAACGUGGAAAAGAUCAGUGAAUAAAGAGAGGUCCAGACAUGAAGGAGGCACGCAAGCACAUUUACACACUGAACACACACACACACACACACACACACACACACACACGCAUUCAGUUCAACAGCACCUACAGUCUGUCUGCGGUCUACCACCACCCCACCACACACACACACGGCUGUUACGGUAAGAAUCAGAGACCACCGAGUCAGGAGGAUAAUAACGGCAUAAAUGUGAGAAAACAAGCUCAUUAUCCACUGCUGUUUUCUUCCUCCAGUCAUUAUAGACAAAUUGACAGCUUCUAUCCCUAAAUGUUUAAACUUUGGUUGCUUUUUUAAAAAAAAAAAGUAAUUCACCUCGAUAACAACACAAGAUUUUUUUCUUCUAUUUAAAAUGUUAAGGGAAGAUUUUGUUUUUAAAUUGAAAUUAAUCCUGAAUGGUUUUACUUUUGAAGUACUCGUGUGUCUUCUGUCAUUUGUAACGUGUCCAAGUGUGCACGCUCUCUUUUUUUUUCUGUUACCAUCUUUCACUCCACAAGUUUAACAGCCGUACCACAUAUCCCACAACCCCCUCAUAUCCAGCCUUCCUAACCCGCCCAGUGCCCCUCCCAGGCUUCCCAGCAUCCUGCUUUGCACACCCUCCAAAAAAACCAUGCGUGCUGAAAUUACAGUGUGUGCAGCGGCAUUGUGGGAAGCCCUUCCCUCCCACUCACUCACUGGAUUUGCCAUCCUUAUCUUCUCCUCGCUCUGCUACUGUUUUGGAUAGAUUUAGGCAAGGUUUGUUUUCAUUUUCGUGAAACUGUUAAACGGUGAUAAUUUGCAACUAAACUGACGACAGUUCAGAGGAAGGUUAACAAGGUCUGGGCACAGUUCUAAACAAGAUUUGCCUCUUUGUUUUGAUUAAUUUUUUGCAUUUGUUGGCCUUGAAUAAUUACAGUUAGGAUGAUUUGUCUGAUCUGUUUUGAUGUCUGAAGUGAAAUACUGUGUUUGUGUGAUUUCUAACAUUUUAUAAAUACAACUCAUUACGACUAAUUAGUUAACCUUUAUCUUCUGCUCAGUAUUUUGAGUUAUCACAUUGAAACUUGUAAAAAAAAAAAAAGUGCAACAGUACAUAGAAAGUAGAAAACAAACUAUUUCAGCGCUGGAUUCAUAGAUUUAAAUGUACCCAUGCAGAUAAAGGUAGUCAUUAUGCGCAGUGGUUGCGAGAAAAGAGAAAAUAGCGCCAGCUACAAAGCCUCCGACUCAAUUUAACAGCAAAAAAAGGCAUCUGAUUUGGUGAUAGAAAGUACAGUCUUGCUUUUAAUGAAGCGACUUAAAUGAGAAAGAAGCAGCACAGAGCUCUUGGCUUCUAGCUUCAGGUUAACUGACGGCACCGCCCUCGCAGCGACCGUGUUGCUAACCAGCUGUAAUGAUACACUCCAUCAGUUCGGCUUUGCCUGCGCGGGGCUAUUGGUUAGCAGUCGGCCGAGGUGCAGCCUGUGUGUGUGUGUGUGUGUGUGUGUGUGUGUGUGUGUGUGUGUGUGUGUGUGUGUGUGUGUGUGUGUGUGUGUGUGUGUGUGUGUGUGUGUGUGUGUGUGUGUGUAUGUCUAUGUGUGCGAGUGUGUGCGGCAGCUAUUAAAGCACUUGAGAGUCAGAGAGGAAGGGACUCCGCAAAUGGAUGUGUCUAUUGAUGUUCCCAUUUAGCAGCACACUGUAAACGAUAGGGCAAUGAUUGUGUUUAAGACGGAAGGAGGUGGAGGAGUGGAGAGCAGUUUGGCUGGGCGAUGAUAAUGACAAGGAAGGUUAUUAUUUGGUGCCCCAUGGAGUCUCUCUCUGCGCUUUGUGUCUGUGUGUGUGUGUGACGGAGAGAGAGAGAGUGGAGAGAGCCACUCUACCUCCACACCUCUCGCUCCUCUUGCCCAUUGGCUAUUAUACACUUCUCGCUUUUUCUCUCCCGUCCACUCUUCAUGGCAUUACUUGCUGCUGCUAGUCUCCAUCCAAUUGUGGCUUUUUUCUUUUCUCCACAUCCGCCUCUAUUUCUGUUUUCUCAAUGGCCUUCUCCAUUUUUUUUAAAUGCAUAGUGGAGAUGUCUUUUGUUACGGUAAAUAAAAUGGCAGAAAAAGGCAGAAUAAUGCAGAAGAGGCAGCAAAGUAGUUUCUUGUUAUAAAUUUUUAGGAUAGCAGGUUGCACUUGAAAUAUUAAUGUACUCACCAGUAGUUUUUUUUUUGUACCCAGCUGUGUGUGUGUGUGUGUGUGUGUGUGUGUGUGUGUGUGUGUGUGUGUGUGUGUGUGUGUGUGUGUGUGUGUGUGUGUGUGUGUGUGUGUGUGUGUGUGUGUGUGUGUGUGAGUGUGAGUGUGCUGUCAGUUCCAAUCAUUGUGUGUGUGAUGAAUAUGAAUAUAGUCAGCCUGCCUGCAGGUUUGGCAGGAGACCACCUCCAGCUGGACUCAGACCCCUACUCAACUGUGUCUGUGUGUGUUUUGUGAGCGUGGUUGUAUAAGUCAGCUUGUAUCUGUCAGUGCUGUGACAACCUCAGGAGGAAGUAUUUCAAAAAAUAUAUACAACUUGACACGCAAAUCGCUGAAAUCACAUAGAAGGGUGCAUCAAGUUUAAGCAGCAAUAGGAUUUUAACUUUAUGGUCUUCUUAUUUUAACAUCAAAAAUAACUUCUGCUGCUAGAAACAUGUUAAAUUAGAUUGAAGUGCAUGUUAUAAUUAGGUAUUAAUAGUUUUUAUAAGAGCAUGUCCAUAUUUCAGCCUACCUUCCGCCACUUUGUUUGUCACAAUUACUUUAAUCAACCCAAUUCUUUCCAGUCGAGCCUGUCAGGGCUUGUGUGUGUGCUUCCCUGUUGAUGGCACAUUGUUUGUCAGAAGAUUAAUGCUGUUGAAAUUAUUUGCAAAUCUCUUGUCAGCGUUGUAAAAAUCAAUCUGUCAUUCUCCGUGUGUGCAUGUGUCUCUAAUCGCAGGGCAGCAUAUAAAGAGGGAGACGCCAUUCCAGCUGUGAGGAGACGGAAGAAGUCAACAUGUACACCACACACACACACACACACACACACACACACACACACACACACACACACACACACACACACACACACACACACACACACACACACACACACACACGUGCACUCUCAAAAUGCACACAGAGCCGGAGGCGCACGAGCAGGUGAGCAUUAAGUUAGGCAGCUAAACAGAUCACGUCGCGGUAUGAUAUCUGCAGACAGGCAGACAGAGGAGGCUGGUCUGUACCUGCAGGCAGAGAGCAACAACUCCCAGCACCCUCGCCAGGAAUUUCCUCCCCCUCCUGAGAAAGAGCGAGACGUAGAGGGGGAGGAAGAGUGACGGCGAGAGGCAGGCGUAUACUGGGGUUUCCACUAUUUUAUGUUUGAAGUAGUUUUAGCUAGUUUGAGCCCCAAACACACACUAAAUUGCUUCAGUGUCACAACAUAUUUUAACAGCUGAAUGCACCUCUUAAACAGUUUUUAUCACUAAAAUAGAGUUAAAAAUUUACCCAGAAUUCUUGUAUGAGAAGUUUCUUCCAUAUGAAAUGCAUGACAGCUUAUUUUUUUAAAGAAUUUUAAAUGUACCCGACAUUCACUGAUAUUAAAAGCCACUAAUACCCAUCAUCAGUGUUUUGGCAUCUAUAUGUAGCCCGUUGAAGCAAAUGUAAUAAUUAAAAAGAGAUAGCUUUUGUAAUUAUCUUUAGAUAUGUCUAUUUUUCCACAUUUCAUUUUCAAAACUAAUUUGUGAUUUAAAAAAACAUUGUCCUCCUUGAUGUUUUUUUUCUUUUCAUCUGUUUUUUCCCAAGCAAAAGCUCUCCUUUGCAUGCCUAAAUUUAGCCUUAUUAUGACAUAAUAAAAACAAAAUAAAUAACCUUUAUUUAAGACGUGAGGAGGAGAAAGGCAGAGUGGGGAAAAAAGGCACAAAUCCUGUAUAGACAAAAAAAACCUGUCCCAAAAUGCUCCCUCUUAGGUUUGGCCACAUUUUGCAUGAACGUUCUUCCCUAACCUCAGAUGAUGAAUAGAUGUCCUUUGACACAAAAAUGAAGAGAGGAGCGCAUUCACACACUACUGUGAUCUCUCAUACUGAUGGCACUUUUGUUAUUUUAGAGAAAUUCAAUCACCUCAUGCAUGAUUUGUCAUUCUGAUAUUACUUGUCUGCUUUGACAGGGUCCGCGGUUCUGAAUGUGAAACGCCGACAGUAUCUGUUACACAAACUUGUUCCACCAUUUCCUAUUGUCAGUGCUCCUUAAAGCAAUUUUGUAACUGCACCUCAUUUCACACAUCUGCUCGGCAAAUGUGUCCUUAAUCUGUGGCAUCCUGUAUCACAUUUACAGUAAUUCCCCAUUGGGAGAUGCCCUUUACAGUUUCGGUGUCUCACUGUUAGCCACUGUGCAGCUUCACCGAGCAUACUGUGGGUUAUGUUGGUGCGGAAGAGACCCUCAACAGCAGUCAUUAAAUAAGACAUAAGUUCAUUUCUAGUGCACAAGUUUUUCCAACAAUUCAUCGCCAUGUAAGCCACAAACUGCCUUAUUCGCUCUCUAAUCUGCCAUCGUCCUCAUUAAGCAGAUCAUCCUUGUUCUGUGAUCAGCAUUAUUUCCCAGCUAAGGUUUUUGUGAUCUUUUUCAAAGCUCUUCAUAUUUAGCCUGGGAAGAAAAAAAAAAAAAAAACGCCUCGUGGAAUUUUUACAAGUCUCAAGCCCUCCCCACCACAUCCACUUAUCUAAAAAUGAUUCAGUGGUUAAAUGUCAUAGCUGUCCGUGCCAUUAAGGCCAGCAUGUUUGAAGGAAGGACACCCUUGCCCGCCCUCCCCCUCCUCCCCCCUCUGUCUCUUCUUAUUCCUCUCUCUCCUUCCUGUCUCCCCUCAGCUUCCUCAUCCUCCAACACUCACCCACCCCACCACCCCGCCUCCCUACCUCACACGGCCCAGACUGGUUUGAGGGCUGAUGUGCAGACCUUGUCAUUCAGAUUAGGGUCACAUUGUCAGCUCAGGGCUCUUCUCUCUCUAGUUGCGUGUCCCGGAUCUUUCUUCCUACUGUCACCCUCAUCCUGCGGCCAGAGAAGACCUUAUAAAUCUACAUUCCUUCUCAUCCACUUCUGUCAAUUCCAACACUGUCACUCAAAUCACUGCUGGGGAGAGUGAAGAGAGACCGAGUUAGCGCCGUCCCUUGGAGCAAGGACUGUGCUUUUUGGUCCAGGCUCGGGUGAUGUGUCAUCGGCGAGCAAACUGUUUUCUGAUUUUUAUUAUCGCAAGAGCCGCUGCUACUGUGUCAUGUCAUCGUUUGUAUCUCAGUUAAUGCAUUCUUCUGAAACGCUUGUAAUUCUUGGAACAAAAAGAACACACAUUCAUAUCUGUAUCUAUAAAUAGCUCUUGUUCUCUUAAAGACAGAGAAGCGGCAGAUUCUCCUUCAAAAUCCUGCACAAAUGUUAACACGCAUUGUGUUGCUGCUUAAUAGUAAAGAGAGUCAUGCUGUUAUUUUUGACUAUGUUUUCUACGCUAAAGGAGUAUUUGGCAAGGGAUGAGAUAUCAACCACAUCGUCUUAGUCACACCGUAUCCUGCCAUGGAAAAGUGUCCAAACACCAUAUUUAUCAUCCGACCACAUCUUGACUCACUGCCACAGUUGCUGUCACGUCACAUCUAAUUGCUGCAGCAGCUUUGUGGCAUUUGAUUUUUGUGUUUGUCACACACGCUGCACUUUUUCUUUUUUCUCAAGAAGAGCAAUGAUUCAGCACUGCGUAAUAAGACCUUUCAUACAAGAUGGUGGACUGUUUCUUUACUGGUAUUUGUGCAAGAGGAAGACAGAAAAACAGCCCAGUCUAGCCACCAUGCCACAUCAUAACGAAACAACAGACGCUAUUGAUCAGGGUGAGUCGACAGUUUCAUACCCAUUGUCUUCCUCAUCCUCCACCUUGUAUGAAGCCAUUGAGGCAUGCUGGUGUCUCUCAAGAGGCUGUGCCGCUGCGCUUCAAUACAGCAUACGACAACUGGCUGCUGCAGCCUCCACCCAGGUGCUGUUUACUCAAAACCCACUAUGAGUCAGGAGUUUCAAGUUGACUUCCCCCAUCUAACUGCUGCUUGCAAUGAAAUAAAAUGCGCUCCCUAAAACUGACACUUCCUUUGGUAUAAUAAUCAUCGUGUGUCUUAGAAGGUAAUAGUGCAAACAGCACUUCAUUGCAUUGCAAAGAUUUAAGUAGCAGUGAGCAAAGUCAGAUCUGCUUUUUUUUUAUAUAGUCGCUGUGGUGAAAGAAAUGACAGGAGGAAGGAACUCGCUGAAUGGAAAAAAAACAUUGAUGGGUUUUGAUAAAAAUUUUACUGCUAGCAGUUUAGUAUUUCUCUAAUCCAUUUGACAUGUUUUAGCAUGCUUGAUCCCUGAAAUGGCUCCUAUUUUGUGUCUUUUCUAAGGUACAUAAUGUGAACAGGUACCACAAGAUCCAAGGAAUGUGGGAGAAAGCAGGUUUUUGAUGACCGAACCUCAAGAAAUGUUCGGUUCUUCUUCAAAGCUCAUUAUGUUUUAUUAUUUAAAUGCUGUAAAUUUCAGGAGUCAGCACAAAUAAUGUAAAUGGAUAUUCAAUUUAGGUUUUUGUAGUUGUCUAAUAAAGCCUAAUUAGAAGAGAGGAUAUCAUCAAAGUUUAGUAAAACACUCAUGACCUUUUCGGUGUCCUUCGUGAGAAUGAAAGAGAGAUUUAGUGAGAGAGUGUGAGAGUUAGAAGCCUCUCUGCCCACAGAGAAGACAAGCUCCCUCUGCAUCUCUAAGCAGACUGUCAUCCCUGGUCACCAUCAGGUCUGUGUUUGCCCCAGUGAACAUUCAACGCUGUCGGUGAGUUUGAGCUAAAUUGAAAAAACCAUCGACCGUUGACUGUACCCUGUGGCCAGCCUUUGUCACUCGGUGUUUAAAAAAAAGAAGAAAAAAACAAGUCAAAAACAUGCGGAAACCUGCACACAGGCACGGCCGAUGACUCCUUCAGAAAAAAUCGCACGAGGAGCACUGCGUCCCUUCUGCAUAAAUACGCAAAAUACUUCGAGCUUCGAAACAACAGCAAAGGUCACAAUCAACAUUCAUUGCUGUCGGUGGGUUUAACUGUGUGGAAGAGCUCACUGAACGAUGAAUGCAACUGUGUCCCAGAUUUCAUCCAACCGUCACAAGGAAUAGUGUCACGAUAUGCUGAUGAUGGUAUUAUUUAUUUCACCGCCUGUCUCUCUCUCUCUCUCGCAUUCCCUCAACAACAGCCGCACAUGUACAUUGUGAACUCACAGGCAGUUCAGAUUGAAUCUCAAUCACACUUGGUUGCGGUAGAGGGCUCUGAGUUUGCUAUAGGAGCAAAGGAAGAAUGAGAAAAUGCAAUGAGACACUCCCAGUUUGUGUGUAGUGUUUUAUAAAUGAUUUAGUUGUUGUAAAUAUCACAUUAAAAAAGUACACAUGAAUGUGCUGGAUAUGAACGCUAAAGAUUAACAUAGAAGUGAUCUUUUGGCAAUAAAAAUGACUUGUGCAGUAAAACAUCAUUUUAUCAGCCAGAUUUAUUUCAAAUGGUUCAUGUGUUAUAUUUGAAGAAGUUGUAAUAUGUGAAAUAUAUUUUGUACCUGCUUAUUAUUCUUUGCAACAAACCAUUAAAGAACCACAAGGUUAUGUAACUGCACUGUGUAUUCAUGACUGUUGUAAUACUGUAUAUUCUUUCUUUGCUGUAUUUUAUCAAAUAAAUUAUCACCAUCACAGUC